rnacentral:rRNA from 1 species
UACGGGGGGAGCAAGCGUUGUUCGGAUUUACUGGGCGUAAAGGGCGCGUAGGCGGCGUGACAAGUCACUUGUGAAAUCUCCGGGCUUAACUCGGAACGGUCAAGUGAUACUGUCGUGCUAGAGUACAGAAGGGGCAACUGGAAUUCUCGGUGUAGCGGUGAAAUGCGUAGAUAUCGAGAGGAACACCUGCGGCGAAGGCGGGUUGCUGGGCUACUACUGACGCUGAGGAGCGAAAGCCAGGGGAGCAAACGGG